rnacentral:rRNA from 1 species
AGAGUUUGAUCCUGGCUCAGGACGAACGCUGGCGGCGUGCUUAACACAUGCAAGUCGAGCGGUAAGGCCCUUCGGGGUACACGAGCGGCGAACGGGUGAGUAACACGUGGGUAACCUGCCCUUAGCUUUGGGAUAAGCCUGGGAAACUGGGUCUAAUACCGGAUAGGACUGCAUCCUGCAUGGGGUGUGGUGGAAAGUUC